UACGUAGGGCCCGAGCGUUAUCCGGUAUUAUUGGGCGUAAAGAGCUCGUAGGCGGUUCGUCGCGUCGGCUGUGAAAUCCCGAGGCUCAACCUCGGGUCUGCAGUCGAUACGGGCGGACUGGAGUUCGGCAGGGGAGACUGGAAUUCCUGGUGUAGCGGUGAAAUGCGCAGAUAUCAGGAGGAACACCGGUGGCGAAGGCGGGUCUCUGGGCCGAUACUGACGCUGAGGAGCGAAAGCGUGGGGAGCGAACAGG
rnacentral:rRNA from 1 species